rnacentral:misc_RNA from 1 species
GCUAUUCACUUUACAUGUAAUGUAUAAACAGGGAGCAGCUCAAAGUUUUUCUGAGCUGCAACAACUUUCAGAAUGCUACUUCAAAAGAAUUUAACUUUGUUAUGCAUAUUAAGGUAUGGAUUAUUUAAUUAUCAGAAAAAUAACUAAUUUCUUCCUCAUCUGAAGGGUCAUUGUUUACCUGAGGAUUAGUUUGAGCAUCAACCAUGACACCAUGCUCAAAUGCGUUCUUCUCUUCUGAAGAGUCAUCAGCUACUGAAGAUGUCGAGAGAGCGACAUUGAUUACACCAGAUUCAAAUCUCCGCCGCCUUUCAACAGCAUUCUCGACCAAAGUUUGAAAUUCUUCAUCACUGCUAGCUAACAUGUAGCGCAGUUUAAAAUUGAUUUGAUUCUCCACUAGAACUUUGUGCCUUGGAAUUAUCCGUUCGUCUAGAGAAUAGCUGAAGAACCUUGGAAACUCAAUGAGAUCCUGCAAAGGCCGGACCAUGGUUCGCCUCAAGUAACGAUACUUAGGGCGGAGGAGGUCUAUAUUGUAACGUAGUAGCAUGGGAAAAUCAGCAAUCAUCUCACCCAAUUGACGAUGGCGUAUGCCCAGUGACAGAAAAUAUUUCAUGCUUUAUGCACUAUGCUGCAUCCCAAGAGCUCUGGUCCCAAAGCUAUCACCUUACCAAUAUCCCUCUCACUAACACCAGCUUUUGUCAUCAAGAAUAUGACCACU